ACGUUAUUCGGAAUCACUGGGCUUAAAGCGCGUGUAGGCGGCUGAGUAAGUCUGCUCUGAAAGCCCGGGGCUCAACCCUGGGAGGCGGGUGGAUACUGCUCAGCUCGAGUCCGGAAGAGGAGUGUGGAAUUCCUGGUGUAGCGGUGAAAUGCGCAGAUAUCAGGAGGAACACCAACGGCGAAGGCGGCUCUCUGGGACGGUACUGACGCUGAGACGCGAAAGCGUG
rnacentral:rRNA from 1 species